rnacentral:rRNA from 1 species
GAUGAACGCUGGCGGCGUGCCUAAUACAUGCAAGUCGAGCGAAUGGAUUGAGAGCUUGCUCUUAUGAAGUUAGCGGCGGACGGGUGAGUAACACGUGGGUAACCUGCCCAUAAGACUGGGAUAACUCCGGGAAACCGGGGCUAAUACCGGAUAACAUUUUGAACCGCAUGGUUCGAAAUUGAAAGGCGGCUUCGGCUGUCACUUAUGGAUGGACCCGCGUCGCAUUAGCUAGUUGGUGAGGUAACGGCUCACCAAGGCAACGAUGCGUAGCCGAGCUGAGAGGGUGAUCGGCCACACUGGGACUGAGACACGGCCCAGACUCCUACGGGAGGCAGCAGUAGGGAAUCUUCCGCAAUGGACGAAAGCCUGACGGAGCAACGCCGCGUGAGUGAUGAAGGCUUUCGGGUCGUAAAACUCUGUUGUUAGGGAAGAACAAGUGCUAGUUGAAUAAGCUGGCACCUUGACGGUACCUAACCAGAAAGCCACGGCUAACUACGUGCCAGCAGCCGCAGUAA